rnacentral:rRNA from 1 species
AAAUUGAAGAGUUUGAUCAUGGCUCAGAUUGAACGCUGGCGGCAGGCCUAACACAUGCAAGUCGAACGGUAGCACAGAGAGCUUGCUCUCGGGUGACGAGUGGCGGACGGGUGAGUAAUGUCUGGGAAACUGCCCGAUGGAGGGGGAUAACUACUGGAAACGGUAGCUAAUACCGCAUAACGUCGCAAGACCAAAGUGGGGGACCUUCGGGCCUCACACCAUCGGAUGUGCCCAGAUGGGAUUAGCUAGUAGGUGGGGUAACGGCUCACCUAGGCGACGAUCCCUAGCUGGUCUGAGAGGAUGACCAGCCACACUGGAACUGAGACACGGUCCAGACUCCUACGGGAGGCAGCAGUGGGGAAUAUUGCACAAUGGGCGCAAGCCUGAUGCAGCCAUGCCGCGUGUAUGAAGAAGGCCUUCGGGUUGUAAAGUACUUUCAGCGAGGAGGAAGGCGUUGUGGUUAAUAACCACAGCGAUUGACGUUACUCGCAGAAGAAGCACCGGCUAACUCCGUGCCAGCAGCCGCGGUAAUACGGAGGGUGCAAGCGUUAAUCGGAAUUACUGGGCGUAAAGCGCACGCAGGCGGUUUGUUAAGUCAGAUGUGAAAUCCCCGGGCUCAACCUGGGAACUGCAUUUGAAACUGGCAAGCUUGAGUCUCGUAGAGGGGGGUAGAAUUCCAGGUGUAGCGGUGAAAUGCGUAGAGAUCUGGAGGAAUACCGGUGGCGAAGGCGGCCCCCUGGACAAAGACUGACGCUCAGGUGCGAAAGCGUGGGGAGCAAACAGGAUU